AUUGAACGCUGGCGGCAGGCCUAACACAUGCAAGUCGAACGAGUGGCGGACGGGUGAGUAAUGUCUGGGAAACUGCCUGAUGGAGGGGGAUCACUACUGGAAACGGUAGCUAAUACCGCAUACCCUCAGAUGUGCCCAGAUGGGAUUAGCUUGUUGGUGGGGUAACGGCUCACCAAGGCGACGCUCCCUAGCUGGUCUGAGAGGAUGAACAUCCAAACGGGAACUGAGACACGGUCCAGACUCCUACGGGAGGCAGCAGUGGGGAAUAUUGCACAAUGGGCGCAAGCCUGAUGCAGCCAUGCCGCGUGUAUGAAGAAGGCCUUCGGGUUGUAAAGUACUUUCAGCGGGGAGGCGUUACCCGCAGAAGAAGCACCGGCUAACUCCGUGCCAGCAGCCGCGGUAAUUC
rnacentral:rRNA from 1 species